CGGACGGGUGAGUAACGCGUGAGUAACCUGCCUUUCAGAGGGGGAUAACGUCUUGAAAAGGACGCUAAUACCGCAUAAUAUCUUUUUACCGCAUGGCAGAGAGAUCAAAGGAGCAAUCCGCUGAAAGAUGGACUCGCGUCCGAUUAGCCAGUUGGCGGGGUAACGGCCCACCAAAGCGACGAUCGGUAGCCGGACUGAGAGGUUGAACGGCCACAUUGGGACUGAGACACGGCCCAGACUCCUACGGAAGGCAGCAG
rnacentral:rRNA from 1 species